GCCGCUUUGGCGCAAUGGUAGCGCGUGACCCUCCUAAGGUCAAGGUUGCGGGUUCAAGUCCCGUGAGUGGCU